UUCCAAGGCCAAAGUCACGUUAGUUGUAU
rnacentral:piRNA from 1 species